AGAGCAACUCACCGUCCGCUUAUCCCGAACUAGAAGCGGAAAACGGGUCCACGGCGCUCCGCCACCAUAGUAAUUUUUCCGCCGCUCGUGCGCACUGGGGAUCUCGCGCGGGGCCGGCGGAGGAUCAUGGUUUCUCCUUUGGAAUCAUAUCCAUUCUAUCGUAUGGUAACCAGAAAUGCAAAUAAUACUCUGUUUAGCCUUACUGGUUUAUGGAAUUGUAACGUGAUGUCUCAGCUUUCAUACUUUUUGCCACAGCUGAUGAAGGUUGCACCUUCCAAACCCAUAAUCUGCACCAGCUAGAUCAGAAGGACAAAGGCAGCAGAAGCAUGGACAACACCACUGCCUGGAUACACACAGAAUGCUGGAGGAACUCAGCAGGCCAGGCAGCAUCUAUGGAAAAGAGCUCAGUCGACGUUGCGGGCCGAGACUCUUCAGUAGGAUGACCGCUGCCUGGAAUUUGUUUUGCAAGCCGCAGACCGCCUUGACUUGUAUGUUGUCUUUCCUUCACUGGCUGGAAUCCUGGAAUUCUCUCCCUAACAGCAUUAUGGGUUUAACUAUAAGACAUGUUGUCAAGCCGAGGAGUGGUAGUGGGGACAAGCUCCCACUAUCUAAAAGUGCUCCUCACGGCGUGCGCCUCAAUUAGCCUCUGACAACCAAGUCCAACUCCUGGCUUUCUCGUGUGGCUUGGCCUCUAAGCCCAGCGGAACUGUUUCUACUGACAGGAGAAGGGGUGAAGGUGGGUCCUGGCGCCUUAAAACCAGUGCUUCGGAUAGAUGAAGCUCAUCAGCCUGGGAAGGCAGUCUGUCUAAGAGAGGGAAAACUUUGAUUUCAGACCUCCGCUGCCUUGCAGCCAUACCCACUCAUCGGAAAGGCUUCGGGAGUAAACCCUGAGGACAAAUCCGGAGCUGGAAUCCCUAAGUCAGCCUGGCAUUGCCUUCAACCUUGUUCUGUCAACUCCUGCAACGACACUGGUGCUAAGCUGUAUCGGCCCUACUGUUCUGGAUACCCCCACCAAGUGAUGUUAGAGGUGCUUUUAGGCCAUGGUACACGGGCGAGAGCUCUGCCUUCCUGAAUUCUCAACACAGGCUGAUAUUUCAUGACAAAUGGAUUGAAGAAGCUUGCAGAAUGAUUGAAAAAGAAAAGAAAAGAAAGAAAACUUGACUGGAAUAGAUGCUGCCUGACCCUCUGUGUAUUUCCAGCAGUUUCUGCUUUUAAAUUUGAAGGAGUCCAAUGGCCAACUCCAGCCAACUUCCCAGGCCAGACCUGAACCAGCUCCAUAUCGCAUUGGGACCGACUGAAAGUUCCUCUACCCAGCAUCUUGUUAGCAAAUGUACAGUCAUUGGAGAUCAAGAUUGAGGAGUGAAGGGCAAGAUUGCUGUAUUGGAGGGAAAUGAGGAAUUGCUGCGCUCUGUGUUUCAUGAAGAUAUGACUUACUCUGGACACACUAGCGUCAAUGAUCAGACCCGAGGGCUUAUUGUCACAUCAGAUGGACUGGACUGCUGAUUCAGAGAAAUCAAAAGGUGGGGGGGGGGGGGGGGGUCUGUGUUUCAUGAUAAACUCUUUGAGGUGCUCAGAUGCAACACUCUUGUCACACUCUUGUUCCCUGACCUGGAACAUCUAAUGAUUAACUGCUAACCAUUCUACUUACCGGGAGAGUUUUCCUCCAUGAUCCUAACCACAGUUUACAUUCUUCCAAAUGUUGAUGUUAAGCAAACACUCAAGGUACUGAGUGUCACCCUCAGCAAACAGGAAACAGCCUGUCCCAUCACCUUCAAAUCAUUGCUUGGGCCUUCAGUCAGGCUUAUUUGAAGAACUCUCUGCCCAAUUAUCAUUAAUGUGAUGAUAAGAAUACAGAAGCAAGGAUGUAAUGUUGAGGCUUUAUAAGGCACUGGUGAAUCCUCACUUGGAGUAUUGUGAGCAGAUUUGGACCCCUUAUCUAAGAAAGAAUGUGCUGACAUUGGAGAGGGUUCAAAGGAGGUUCACAAAAAUGAUUCUGGGAUCGAAAGGCUUGUCAUAUGAAGAGCGUCUGAUGGCACUGGGCCUGUAAUCACUAGAAUUCAGAAGAAUGAGCGGUGACCUCAUGAAACCUAUCGAAUGUUGAAAGGCCUCAAAAGAGUGGAUGGGAAGAGGAGUCUAAAAGAUGGGUUUCCUUUUAGAACAGGGAUGAGGAGGAAUUUCUUUAGCCGGUGAAUGUGUGGAAUUUGUUGCCACAGGCAGCUGUGGGGGCCAAGUUACUGGGUAUAUUUAAGGCAGAGGUUGAUAGCUUUUGAUUAGUCAAAGCAUGAAGGGAGAUGGGGAGAAGGCAAGAGAUUGGAGCUGCGAAGAAAGUUAGAUUAGUCGUGAUGAAAUGGUGGAGCAGACUCAAUGGGCUAAAUGGCUUAAUUUUGCUCCUGUCUUACAUCCAGCACACUCGACCACAACUCUGCUGUGAUUAGGAAUGUCUACCAUGCCAUGCCUAGACAGCAUUUUGGGGAAUCUGAUCAUUUGGCUGUCCUUCUCCUACCUUCAUACAGGCAGAGGCUAAAGAACAUGUCUCUAACAGUAAGGACAACAAAGAGGGUGAUCACGGGAGGUAGAGGGGCCGUGUUCAAGGAUUCAUCAGAGGAUCUGAACGAAUAUACCACAAGCUUUCUAGAAACAGUUGCAGAUGGGUGUCAUUCAGAAUCUUCCCAACCAGAAGCCAUGGGUGAUUCAUGAGAUCCUCAGUCUGCUGAAGGCAUUCAAGCCUGGUGACCAAGUUAAAUACAAGAGGUCUGGGUAUGAUCUCUGGAAAGCUACCUCACAUGCAAAAUGGCAAUCAUGGAGAACACUUGAAUCACUGAAGGAUGCUCGACAGCUGUGUCAGCUCCUACAAAGUGAAACUGAGCAACGUGGCUGAGAAGGCUUUACUCUCAAUGUCUUUUAUGUUAGCUUUGACAUGGAGGCACCUUCACGAACUCCCACAACCCUCAACGUCCCUGUGAUCUCAGUCUCUGAGGCUGAUAUGAGAGCAUCCUUUAGGAAAGUGAACCCACGGAAAGCAUCUGGCCCAGAUGGAGUACCUGGCUGAGUACUAAAGACCCAUGCUGAUCAACUGGCUGGAGUGUUCACUGAGAUCUUUAACCUCUCACUUCAGCAGUCUGAGUUACCCACCUGCAUCAAGUAGGCUCUAAUUGUACCAGUGCCCAGGAAGAACAUGGUGACCUGUCUCAAUGUCUAUCAUCCAGUAGCACUUAUAUCCACUGUGAUGAACAACUUUGAGUUUGGUGAUGAAACAUUUCAACUCCUGAUUGAGGAAGGCAAGGAUAGUAGAUGUCAGCUCAAUAAUUUUAAAGUUAAGAUUGGUAGAUUUUUGCUAUUGAAGGACCACAAGUGACAGAGAUCGUCAGCAGGUGAAUGGAUCUGGAUCUCUGGGUGACAAAAUAGGCUCAAGGCACUGAAUGGCUUACUUAAUCACGUGCAUUUCUGGCUUGCUUUGAUAGGAAUCAGCCAGUUCGAGGUCUACCCUUGUCCAAUCACAAACAAGAGAAAAUCUGCAGAUGCCAGAAAUCCAAGCAACACACACAAAAUGCUGGAGGAACUCAGCAGGCCAGGCAGCAUUUAUGGAAAAGAGUACAGUCAAUGUUUUGGGCUGAGACCCUUCAACAGGAGUGGAGAAAAAAAUAUGAGGAGUUGAGAUAAAAGGUAGGGGGAGAAGAAGGAAGAAACACAAGGUGAAUGCAUAUAUCAGGAUGGUCUUCAUUGACUAGAGCUCAGCAUUCAAUACUAUCAUACCCUCAAAACUGAUAAAUAAGCUUCAAGACCUUGGCCUCAAUAUUACUUGUGCAACUGGAUCUUCAAUUUUCUCAUUUCCAGAUGCCAGUCAGUUCAGAUUGGCAACAACAUCUCCUCCACAGGUGCAUCACAAGGCUAUGUGCUUAGCUCGCCUUACAUUUAUGACUAUGAGGCUAAGCACAGUCCAAUGCCAUACUUAAGUUUGCUAACAAAACCACUGUCAUUGGUUAAAUCAAAGGUGGUGACGAAUCAGCAAAUUGGAGGGAGAUUGAAAAUCUGGCUGAGUGGUGCCACAACAACAACCCCUCACACAACAUCAGCAAGACCAAGGAGCUGAUUAUUGACUUCAGGAGGAGAAACCAGAGGUCCAUGAGCCAGUCCUCAUCGGAGCCAGAGGUGGAAAGGGUCAGCAACUUAAAAAUUUCUCAGUGUUAUCAUGAUCUGUCCUGGGUCCAGUACAUAAGUGCCAUUAUGAAGAAAGCAUAGCAGCUUUUCUACUUUCUUAAAGUUUUGUGAAGAUGCAAUAUUGUCAUCUAAAACAUUGGCAAACUUCUAUAGAUGUUUGGUGGAGAGUAUAUUGUCUGGUUACAUCACAGUGUGGUAUAGAAACACCAAUGCAUUUGAAUGGAAAAGCCUACAAAAAGUAGUGGAUAUAGGUAAAACCCUCUCUACCUUUGAGCACAUUUGCAUGGAACAUUGUCGCAGGAAAGCUGCAUCCAUCAUCAAGGACCCCUGCCAAUCAGGCCAUAAUCUCUUCUUGCUGCUGCCAUCAGGAAGAAGGUACAGGAGCCUCAGCACUUACAUCGCCAGGUUCAGGAACAGUUAUUACCCUUUAAACCACAGGGAAUAUCUUAACUCAAUUUCACUCACCCCAUGACUGAACUGUUCCCACAACCUAUAGACUCAUAUUCAAGGGCCCUUCAUCUUAUGUUCUUGUAUUUAUUGCUUAUGUAUGUAGUUAUUUAUAUAUUUAUAUUAUUUCUUUUUUCUCUCUCUUUUUGUUUUUACAUAGUUUGUUGCCUUUUGCAUUUUGGUGUUUAUCCGUCCUGUUGGGUGCAGUCUUUCACUGACACUUUUGUGUUUCUUGUAUUUAUGAUGAAUGUCCAUAAGGAAAUGAGUCUUAGAGUUGUAUAUAGAGACAUACAUGUGCUUUGAUAAUAAAUUUACUUUGAACAAUUAAUGGGAAAAUUAAGUGCCAGGUCAACAGCAAGUAAAGCUUUCCAUUUGAUUAAUUAAGUGUGUUUGUUUUUUAUUUUUCUAACUUUUGGUAUCAUUUUUAUUUUUAAAAU